GGGGAAUAUUGGACAAUGGGCGCAAGCCUGAUCCAGCCAUGCCGCGUGGGUGAAGAAGGCCUUCGGGUUGUAAAGCCCUUUUGUUGGGAAAGAAAAGCAGCCGGCCAAUACCCGGUUGUUCUGACGGUACCCAAAGAAUAAGCACCGGCUAACUUCGUGCCAGCAGCCGCGGUAAUACGAAGGGUGCAAGCGUUACUCGGAAUUACUGGGCGUAAAGCGUGCGUAGGUGGUGGUUUAAGUCCGUUGUGAAAGCCCUGGGCUCAACCUGGGAAACGCAGUGGAUAACGGGAUCACUGAGUGGGGGAGGGGGUAGGUGGAUUUCCCGUGUAGGAGUGAAAAGGCAAGAGAUUGGGAGGAAACUUCGUGGGGAAGGGGAACUGCUGGGGCAAACAUGAACACGAGGCCACAAAGGCUUGGGAGCAAACA
rnacentral:rRNA from 1 species